rnacentral:rRNA from 1 species
UACGUAGGGGGCAAGCGUUGUCCGGAUUUAUUGGGCGUAAAGAGCGUGUAGGCGGCCAGGUAGGUCUGCUGUGAAAACUCGAGGCUCAACCUCGAGACGCCGGCGGAAACCAUCUGGCUAGAGUCCGGAAGAGGAGAGUGGAAUUCCUGGUGUAGCGGUGAAAUGCGCAGAUAUCAGGAAGAACACCCGUGGCGAAGGCGGCUCUCUGGGACGGUACUGACGCUGAGGCGCGAAAGCGUGGGGAGCGAACAGG